AUUGAACGCUGGCGGCAUGCCUUACACAUGCAAGUCGAACGGUAACGCGGGGCAACCUGGCGACGAGUGGCGAACGGGUGAGUAAUACAUCGGAACGUGCCCAGUAGUGGGGGAUAGCCCGGCGAAAGCCGGAUUAAUACCGCAUACGACCUACGGGUGAAAGCGGGGGAUCGCAAGACCUCGCGCUAUUGGUGCGGCCGAUGUCAGAUUAGGUAGUUGGUGGGGUAAAGGCCGACCAAGCCUACGAUCGGUAGGUGGUCUGGGAGGGCGACCAGCCACACGGGGACUGAGACACGGCCCAGACGCCUGCGGGAGGCAGCAGUGGGGAAUGUUGGACAAGGGGCGCAAGCCUGAUCCAGCCAUGCCGCGGGUGGGAAGAAGGCCUUCGGGUUGUAAACCGCUUUUGUCAGGGAAGAAACGCUCUGGGUUAAUACCUCGGGGUAAUGACGGUACCUGAAGAAUAAGCACCGGCUAACUACGUGCCAGCCGCCGCGGUAAAAC
rnacentral:rRNA from 1 species